GGAAUAGCCCAGCGCUGAAUCCUUCGGCCACUGGUUGCAAGGAAUUGUAGCGUAUAGGUGCAACUGUUUCGUUUGUUUUCGCUCACCCAAAGUCCCCUUGAGUGGGGCCACAGUCCAUAGAAGGUGCUAGACCUGUACGGGUGGUGAAGUGAACGAUUGUUUGGUUGUUCCUCGGAGUCGAGUUGCCUGAGAUCGCAGCUCAAAGCGGGUGAUAGAUUUCAUCUAAGGCUAAAUAUGGCUACGAAACCGAUAGCAAACAAGUACCGUGAGGGAAAGUUGCAAAGAACUUUGAAGAGAGAGUUCAAGAGGGCGUGAAACCGCUGAGAAGGAAACGGAUAGAGUUGACGAAACACGUUGGCAUUCAAUCGUUGUAACGUUGCGGUGCAUUCACAUGUAAGGCCUACUUACAUCUGUCAAAGGAUGUGGGUAUGGUUGUGAGCAGCACUUGUGUUGUCUUUGUUGGAYCGCAUGCGUUUGCGYACGGUGUAUUUGCCAACGGUAUGCGCUGAGAAGAUCGUUGUGAUGUGCUAAUAGCUAACUUGCUGUAGAGGACCAUACUCUUUGAAUGAGCGUGGAAACUUUGGCUAGCUAUAGRCAUGUUCGCUUAAUGAUCGCUAAUUAUAGCAAUGCAUUCACUCGGCGAGCUUAAAAACGCACAUUUCUUCUGUCGGUUUGUAUGAGAUUGAUGUGGCUACUGAGCGGUCGCUUGWCGACUUGCUUGUAUGCUAACAUUGGUUGAUCGAUGUUGAAUGUGAGUUGGAGUGUUGAAAAAUGCGUCUCAGUGUGAAAGUCGACCACCUAUCCGACCCGUCUUGAAACACGGACCAAGGAGUCUAGCAUAUGCGCAAGUCAUUGGGUGUUAAAAACCUAAAGGCGCAAUGAAAGUAGAGAUCGCUUUAAUGCGGUUGAUAUGGGAUCCUUGUGUGCUUAUGCUAGCGUUGUUAGUAUAAGUAAGCUUGGCGCACCAUAGCCCCGUCUACGUUGCUUGCAAUAGGGCGGAGGUAGAGCGCAUAUGCUGGUACCCGAAAGAUGGUGAACUAUGCCUGAGCAGGAUGAAGCCAGAGGAAACUCUGGUGGAGGUCCGAAGCGGUUCUGACGUGCAAAUCGAUCGUCUGAC
rnacentral:rRNA from 1 species